UACGUAGGGGGCAAGCGUUGUCCGGAUUCAUUGGGCGUAAAGAGCGUGUAGGCGGCCAGGUAGGUCGGUUGUGAAAACUGGAGGCUCAACCUUCAGAGGUCGACCGAAACCAUCUGGCUAGAGUCCGGGAGAGGAGAGUGGAAUUCCUGGUGUAGCGGUGAAAUGCGCAGAUAUCAGGAAGAACACCCGUGGCGAAAGCGGCUCUCUGGAACGGUACUGACGCUGAUGCGCGAAAGCGUGGGGAGCAAACGGG
rnacentral:rRNA from 1 species